AUUGAACGCUGGCGGCAGGCUUAACACAUGCAAGUCGAGCGAGCGGCGGACGGGUGAGUAAUGUCUGGGAAACUGCCUGAUGGAGGGGUAUAACUACUGGAAGCGGUAUCUAAUACCGCAUACCAUGAGAUGUGCCCAUAUGGGUUUAUCGAGUGGGUGGGGUAAUGUCUCACCUAGGCGCCGAUCCCUAGCGGGUCUGAGAGGAUGACCAGCCACACUGGAACUGAGACACGGCCCAGACUCCUACGGGAGGCAGCAGUGGGGAAUAUUGCACAAUGGGCGCAAGCCUGAUGCAGCCAUGCCGCGUGUGUGAAGAAGGCCUUCGGGUUGUAAAGUACUUUCAGCGAGGAGGCGUUACCCGCAGAAGAAGCACCGGCUAACUCCGUGCCAGCAGCCGCGGUAAUAC
rnacentral:rRNA from 1 species